UUGCAUAGGGGGAUUACUUUUGGC
rnacentral:piRNA from 1 species